rnacentral:tRNA from 1 species
GGGGAAGUGUCGGAACUGGCAGACGAGCAUGACUUAGGAUCAUGUGCCUUAGGGCGUAGGAGUUCGAGUCUCCUCUUCCCCACCA